UGAGGUGGCAGUUCAGGCACUGGGAGCCCCAGGCCCGUAAUGGGCAGGGGGCUCCCAGUGCCUGGACUGCCACCAAAAC